rnacentral:rRNA from 1 species
UGGAUCCAGACUUUGAUUCUGGCUCAGGACGAACGCUGGCGGCGUGCCUAACACAUGCAAGUCGAACGGAACUAUUUUAAAAGAUUUCUUCGGAAUGAUUUUGGCUUAGUUUAGUGGCGGACGGGUGAGUAACGCGUGAGUAACCUGCCUUCAAGAGGGGGAUAACGUUCUGAAAAGGACGCUAAUACCGCAUAACAUAUCGGAAUCGCAUGGUUCUGAUAUCAAAGAUUUUAUCGCUUGAAGAUGGACUCGCGUCCGAUUAGUUAGUUGGUGAGGUAACGGCUCACCAAGAUCGCGAUCGGUAGCCGGACUGAGAGGUUGAACGGCCACAUUGGGACUGAGACACGGCCCAGACUCCUACGGGAGGCAGCAGUGGGGGAUAUUGCGCAAUGGGGGCAACCCUGACGCAGCAACGCCGCGUGAAGGAUGAAGGUUUUCGGAUUGUAAACUUCUUUUCUUAAGGACGAAAAUUGACGGUACUUAAGGAAUAAGCUCCGGCUAACUACGUGCCAGCAGCCGCGGUAAUACGUAGGGAGCAAGCGUUGUCCGGAUUUACUGGGUGUAAAGGGUGCGUAGGCGGCAAUGCAAGUCAGAUGUGAAAUCUAUGGGCUCAACCCAUAAACUGCAUUUGAAACUGCGUUGCUUGAGUGAAGUAGAGGCAGGCGGAAUUCCCCGUGUAGCGGUGAAAUGCGUAGAGAUGGGGAGGAACACCAGUGGCGAAGGCGGCCUGCUGGGCUUUAACUGACGCUGAGGCACGAAAGCGUGGGUAGCAAACAGGAUUAGAUACCCUGGUAGUCCACGCUGUAAACGAUGAUUACUAGGUGUGGGGGGUCUGACCCCUUCCGUGCCGGAGUUAACACAAUAAGUAAUCCACCUGGGGAGUACGGCCGCAAGGUUGCAACUCAAAGGAAUUGACGGA